CUCUUUUAAAUUAUAAGAUGAUUAAAUGGAACAUAGGGCGACAAUUGCAGAAAAUUUGUGGGUACUUUGGUAUUCUUUAUAUCAUACCCUCAUAUAUACCACCAUUCAUUGCAAGGGCAUAUUGUUGCCUCAUUACAAAGGAUAGUACAGAUUCUGGAAAUUCUGGGGACAAGAGAAUCCUAAUUGUCCUUUGUGUGGGUAUACAUGUAUUGAAAUAUUACAUAUUUUCUGGGGAUAAGCAAAUGUAAUCAGCAUCAUUAGGACCUUCUGUUGCAUUAUUUCUGUUUAUUACUUCUAAAUGAAAGAAAAAAAAAACACUCUCUUAUUAGCAUUAUAUUUUAUUUGUGCUGUCGGACAACUUGAAGUUGUUGUCUGACAGACGUAAAAAAGGUGUCCACGUUAAAUGGGUCUUUACUAUCUCAUUUGUAGUAAAUACAGAAACCUUGGUGGAGACUUUGAUACAUGAAUGGGAGACAAUCGCAAAGUUGUAUUGUUUAAUCUAUAUUCACACAAUAAGUGUUUGCACUACUUUUGUUGUGUCAGUUUACAGGAGUAGAGCUCCGACAUUACAUCGUUUCUACAUUGUAUAAAAGGAUUACUAUAGUGUUGAUCGUUGAUAGUAUAAACUAAGAGUUUAAAGACAUAAAUAAAGCUUGUACAGUGUAAAUAAAUGAAUAUAUUUAUAAUGGACUUAUAGUGUUUUAUACGGGCCAAGAAAAUUUUGAAACAAUCUCAUAGAUCUCCAGAACAGUACACUUACUCUCAUAUUGUCAAAAAUUCAUUGCAAGGCCCUAUGGUCAUCUCAUUACAUUGGAGAUAAUAGGUCCUACUAUAUCUUGGGAUCCAUGUGUUUACUGUAUUUGAAGUCUAAUUUUCUAAUUUGGACAGGCAACUAGAUACUACCGAACAUCAUUCUAUUCACUCUACGCCUCGAACAUACAGCUGUAGAAAAGUUCUACGACGUUUUGAUCAGCGGCUACAUGAGAACUGGUAGUACACUGACGGGUACUAUUCUAGGUGGGAGAAAUGACUCGUUCUAUAUAUAUGAGCCUUUCCGAAAGAGCUUUAUGUGGAAUUACUGGCAUGGAAACGACACUGUUUGCCGCUCUGAUCGUCUAGACUGCAGAACGGUAGACCCUAGGCAGGCUGUUGAGAGCAAUUUCCUUUCUAACAAGAACGACAAGAUGUCCGCUUGUUCGUUAGUUAUGGCAAUUCAGAUAUUAAGAAACAUCUAUGAUUGUCAGUUUAACGACUUUGAACGGACAGUUUUUCAGCGAAUUACUGCUAAACGUGGAGGUCCCAGCUGGAGUCAGGCGCGGUCUUGCAUAAAAAGCAAGGAGAAUUCUACAGUAUGUCUACAGAAGUAUAUCCCCCGAAAUUGUCAGAACGCUACACACCGUGUAACCAAAGUACUAAGGAUGUCAACCGAUCUGCUGGCAGAUAUACUUCUUGAACGUGAAAACCUGAAGGUCAUUCAUCUGUUCAGAGAUCCUAGGGCAAUCAUCAAUUCAAGAUUUCAGGCGAAAUGGUUUCCAAUAAAUACAGAAAAACAAGUUAUUGAGGACGCCAAAGCUCUGUGCAAGAAAAUGCUGUUUGACUUCAAAGAAGGGCAAAAGCUACUAAAACGUUUCCCUAAUAGAUUUAAGGUUGUUUACUAUGAAGAUUUAAGCAAAAAUACAUUCAAUAAAUCGAAAGAAUUAUUCAAAUAUUUGGGUAUGGAUUUAGAUGAACGUAAGUUUCCGAGGCUGUUAACUGUAUUUAGGGAUUCGAAGAAUCGAACUGAACGUAAGAAAAACCCAGCAUUCUGGUGGAGAAAAUCUUUAAAGUGGGAAAUUCUGCAGAAAAUAGAUCUUGUAUGUAAAGGUGUCUAUACAGAACUUGGAUAUAAAUUUUUGAAAAAAGUAGAAGAAUAUCAAAAUCUUUCAUUUUCAACUGUUGAUAUACCAAAAGAAUACUUAAUUGCAUAGGUUUAAGGACAUUUAUCCCGAGUGAUAAUUAUUUUGUACAUUAUCCAUGAAGGUGUGGCAAGAAGUCUGAAAGCAAAGUCAUAAGAAGUUGUUUGAUGAUGGAAGUAUCUGUGAUCAUUUAGUAUUUUCAGUGGUUCAGAGGAACAGAUUAUACUCAGUAAAAACUGAAUGUGAUACUUAUCUAUUUGUGAAUGAACGCGGACUUAAUGAGGAUAAAAUGUUAAUAAGAUGACACACCUGAUGCAGCUGCAAUUAUAUGACAGUAUCAGUGUGAUAUUUAACCAUGUAUCAUCGUUUAACAUUAUAAAUGCAAUUGAUGCAUUAAAAGUUAAUACAAUGUAAAAACUGCUUUGUACUUUUUAU
rnacentral:misc_RNA from 1 species